rnacentral:rRNA from 1 species
AUUGAACGCUGGCGGCAUGCUUUACACAUGCAAGUCGAACGGCAGCGCGGGCUUCGGCCUGGCGUCGAGUGGCGAACGGGUGAGUAAUACAUCGGAACGUGCCCUGUCGUGGGGGAUAGCUCGGCGAAAGCCGGAUUAAUACCGCAUACGACCUGAUGUUGAAAGCGGGGGAUCUUCGGACCUCGCGCUAUUUGAUCGGCCGAUGGCAGAUUAGCUAGUUGGUGGGGUAAAGGCCUACCAAGGCGACGAUCUGUAGCUGGUCUGAGAGGACGACCAGCCACACUGGGACUGAGACACGGCCCAGACUCCUACGGGAGGCAGCAGUGGGGAAUUUUGGACAAUGGGCGAAAGCCUGAUCCAGCAAUGCCGCGUGUGUGAUGAAGGCCUUCGGGUUGUAAAGCACUUUUGGCGGGAAAGAAAAGGACUGUGCCAAUACCACGGUUCGAUGACGGCACCCGCAGAAUAAGCACCGGCUAACUACGUG